AACGUAAAUCCAACUUCGUCGUGAAACGAUGUUGGCCGAGUGGUACUCGGUGGACAUAAUUUAACAUCAUCGCCGGGCACUUUUACUAUUACAUAAUAACAAAUUAUUAGACAGGCGCUGAACUUUCCCCCGGUGAUGAUUAUCUAUUUAUAAUUUUUUUUUUCUACCGUCGGUUGUAGCAACGUAAACAAACGUGCGAGGGGUUUCGUUUUUUUUUUUUUUUUUUAUAUUUUCUGGACAUAAAAAUACAUUAAAGACCGGCCCGCACAGCGCGGCUCAGGAUUGUUUCGUGUGAACGCUUUGCAGUCGCACCGUGUAUGCAUGACAUCGAGACAAAACCACGACCAGUUUUAAUUUCGUCGGAAACACGAUUUAGAGUGAAAAAAAAAAACAAAACAAAAACAAAUGUUGUUUUAGGUCAAUAAAAAAAAUUAGAAAAAUUCGUCGGCGUAUUGCUCGUUGCGACUUUAUGUAUACAGUCGCUCGUUAUUAAUUAUUGUUGUUGUUCUGUUAGCCCGAUGACGAUUGUUCAAACCGAACCCGCGGUAUAAAUACGUUAUUUUUUUUUUAUUUAAAUAAAAAGGCUCGUUCAUUUUUCAAAUUAUUUUUUUCGUAUUCGUUCGUUUACCCGCGUAUAAUAUUGUUAAUUUCGUUCGUUUAUAAUACGUCCGACGUACGAUGUAACGGCGUAACGUAUUACUGGUGAGGGGAGGCGAACGGACCCCCACCCCCUACAAACUUUUUGAGAAAAAAAAAAAAUCAAUCGUCCGGAUAUUCUACGAAAUGGGCCGUUUAAACAAUUCCA